CAGGUAUGGUGAAACAGUUGUAUUUCACUCGAUUUAUUGGUGGGUGUGAAGGCUCGUGUGGCAUUAAGCCGUGAGAAGACAGAGCUGAGAUGAGUCACUGACCGAGAGAACUGAUGCCGCCAGCCAUUCGGACGCUUCCGGCACACGGGCUGGGUAUCGCCAUCAAGAGUAAGGGACGCCGCCAGACAGGUAGAGGCGCCUUCCUUCCCUCCAUGGCUUUGCAUCACGCCAGUAGGAGGAAGAGGAGGAGAAGGAGAAGGAGGGAAAAAGAACUUAUAGGAGGGAAAAAGAAGAUUGGUUUUCAAAGGCAUGGAAUUUCCUGAGUGCUGUGUGUGAAUAUGACUGAUAAAAAAAAAACUUUCACGCAAAAUAAGGUAUAAUAUAUUCAUAUGUACAUACGCACAUACAUACAUACUUUACAUGAUUGACAACAAUGAAAUAGGUAAAUGUGCAUAAAGAUUAAAUAAAAAUACUCUCUUGCGUAACAUACAUACAUACAUACAUGCAUACACAUCAUACAUGAUUGACAGCAAUAAAUAAAAAAAUAGGCAAAAA